GCCAGGCCACACACAGCCAUCACUGUGCGACUUUUUAUUGUGCUACUGAUGGGAGAUACUGAACCAUCCUCUGUACAGCCCUGACCUGGCACCCAAUGAAUUUUAUCUGUUCAGACCAUUGAAAAAAGCAUCUGGGUGGCAGGUGAUUCACAAAUGUGGAAGUUAUGCAAACUGUCUGUCAUGGCUUCAAGCACUUGACACUGACUUUUAUGUUGGCAUAGAUAAUGUAGUGUACACUAAGGCACUGGAACAAAUGUUUAAACUAGUAUGGAAAAUAUGUGGAGAAAUAAACUAUACCAAGGACAUACCUCUUGUACUAUUAUUUACAAGUAUAUGUACAAGUUGAAUAAAUUUAAGAAGUGAGAUCUUGUUACCUUACUUAUUGAACCACCCUUGUACUUAGAUGUAGAAAAUUAAAUGUUAUUUAACUUCUCAGGAAUUCUUUAACUCAGCUGCAUUCAAAGAUAAUCUGCAAAUGUGGAUUAAAUAUAGAUACUGAGCAGGAUUGUCUGUCCUUGGAAAAUUUGAAAGAGCAACUUCAAGAAGGAAUUUCAA